rnacentral:rRNA from 1 species
GAGUUUUGAUCCUGGCUCAGGACGAACGCUGGCGGUUUGCUUAACACAUGCAAGUCGAACGGAAAGGCCCAGCUUGCUGGGUACUCGAGUGGCGAACGGGUGAGUAACACGUGGGUGAUCUGCCCUGCACUCUGGGAUAAGCCUGGGAAACUGGGUCUAAUACCGGAUAGGACCAUGGGAUGCAUGUUCUGUGGUGGAAAGCUUUUGCGGUGUGGGAUGGGCUCGCGGCCUAUCAGCUUGUUGGUGGGGUAAUGGCCUACCAAGGCGACGACGGGUAGCCGACCUGAGAGGGUGAUCGGCCACACUGGGACUGAGACACGGCCCAGACUCCUACGGGAGGCAGCAGUGGGGAAUAUUGCACAAUGGGCGCAAGCCUGAUGCAGCGACGCCGCGUGAGGGAUGACGGCCUUCGGGUUGUAAACCUCUUUCGCUAGGGACGAAGCGCAAGUGACGGUACCUGGAGAAGAAGCACCGGCCAACUACGUGCCAGCAGCCGCGGUAAUACGUAGGGUGCGAGCGUUGUCCGGAAUUACUGGGCGUAAAGAGCUCGUAGGCGGUUUGUCGCGUCGUCUGUGAAAUUCUGCAGCUUAACUGCAGCGUGCAGGCGAUACGGGCAGACUUGAGUACUACAGGGGAGACUGGAAUUUCUGGUGUAGCGGUGAAAUGCGCAGAUAUCAGAAGAA